GUGCUCACUUCAGCAGCACAUAUACUAAAAUUGGAAUAAUGCAGGUAAAAUUAGCAUGGACCCUGUGCAAGGAUGACACACAAAUUCAUGAAGCAUUCCAUGUUUAA
ensembl:snRNA U6 U6 spliceosomal RNA